UACAGGUUGGUUCUCCCGAGCCUUACCGGCAACGGGUGCCAGUCCGCCUUAAUAGGAUUUGGGGCGUGACAAUACCGGGCUCAAUGAGUCUGGUAAUUGGAAUGAGUACAAUCUAAAUCCCUUAACGAGGAUCCAUUGGAGGUGAAAUUCUUGGAUUUAUGAAAGAANAUUCUUGGAUUUAUGAAAGACGAACAACUGCGAAAGCAUUUGCCAAGGAUGUUUUCAUUAAUCAAGAACGAAAGUUGGGGGCUCGAAGACGAUCAGAUACCGUCCUAGUCUCAACCAUAAACGAUGCCGACCAGGUAUCAGCGGAUGUUUCUUUUAGGACUCCACCGGCACCUUAUGAGAAAUCAAAGUUUUUGGGUUUCGGGGGGAGUAUGGUAGCAAGACUGAAACUUAAAGGAAUUGAUAGAAGGGCACCUCCAAGAGAGGAGCCUGCGGCUUAAUUUGACUCAACACGGGGAAACUUACCAGGUCCAGACAUAGUAAGGAUUGAUAGACUGAGAGCUCUUUCUUGAUUCUAUGGGUGUUGGUGCAUGGCCGUUCUUAGUUGGUGGAGCGAUUUUUCUGGUUAAUUCCGUUAACGAAUGAGCCCUCAGCCUGCUAACUAGCUAUGCGGAGGUAUCCCUUCGCGUCCAGCUUUUUAGAGGGGCUACGGCCUUUUAGGCAGCGGAAGUUUGAGGCAAUAACAGGUCUGUGAUGCCUUUAGAUGUUCUGGGCUGCACGCGCACUACACUGACGUAUUCAACGAGUUUAUAGCCUUGGCCGACAGGCUUGGAUAAUCUUUGAAAUUUCAUCGUGAUGGCGAUAGAUCAUUGAAAUAGUUGGUCUUCAACGAGGAAUUCCUAGUAAACGCGAGUCAUCAGCUCGCGUUGACUACGUCCCUGCCAUUUGUACACACCGCCCAUCGCUCCUACCGAUUGAAUGAUCCAGUGAAAUGUUCAGAUCGCAGCGACGUGGGUAGUUUGCUGCCCGCGAUGUUGCGAGAAGUCCAUUGAACCUUAUCAUUUAGAGGAAGGAGAAGUCGUAACAAGGUUUCCAUAGGUGAACCUGCGGAAG
rnacentral:rRNA from 1 species